ACUCCUACGGGAGGCAGCAGUGGGGAAUUUUGCACAAUGGGGAACCGUAGCAUGCAGCGACGCCGCGUGAUUUAGAAGGCCUUCGGGUUGUAAAAUCUUUUGUAUAGGAAGAAAAUGACAGUACUAUACGAAUAAGGUCCGGCUAAUUACGUGCCAGCAGCCGCGGUAAUACGUAAGGACCGAGCGUUGUCCGGAAUCAUUGGGCGUAAAGGGUACGUAGGCGGGUCAUUAAGUUAGAAGUCAAAGGCUAUAGCUCAACUAUAGUAAGCUUCUAAAACUGGAGACCUUGAGUAAUGGAAGGGAAAGUGGAAUUCCUAGUGUAGCGGUGGAAUGCGCAGAUAUUAGGAGGAAUACCGGUGGCGAAGGCGACUUUCUGGCCAUUAACUGACGCUGAGGUACGAAAGCGUGGGUAGCAAACAGGAUUAGAUACCCUGGUAGCUACGAG
rnacentral:rRNA from 1 species